rnacentral:rRNA from 1 species
AUUGAACGCUGGCGGCAGGCCUAACACAUGCAAGUCGAGCGGAGCGGCGGACGGGGGAGGAUUGCCUAGGAAUCUGCCUGGUAGUGGGGGAUAACGUCCGGAAACGGGCGCUAAUACCGCUUCCUAUCAGCUUAGCAUAGGUCGGAUUAGCUAGUUGGUGGGGUAAAGGCCUACCAAGGCCACGAGCCGUAACUGGUCUGAGAGGAUGAUCAGUCACACUGGAACUGAGACACGGUCCAGACUCCUACGGGAGGCAGCAGUGGGGAAUAUUGGACAAGGGGCGAAAGCCUGAUCCAGCCAUGCCGCGUGUGUGAAGAAGGUCUUCGGAUUGUAAAGCACUUUAAGUUGGGAGGCGUUACCAACAGAAUAAGCACCGGCUAGCUUCGUGCCAGCAGCCGCGGUAAUAC